rnacentral:lncRNA from 1 species
GAGGGUGCCUGAGGGGGAUGUGCUAAAGCCAAAGCACAUUUGCCCCCUCCCAGCGGGUAGGGGAGUGGUGGAGGCGGAGCACAGAGGUGUGGCCUGUCAGAGAAGGCGUUGUUACGACAGCACAGAGAGUACGGCCCUAGGAGCAGGACCCUGCACACAGCUGAGCUCAGAGGCUCCAGUCUGGCCACGAGAAUGCAAUGGGAGGUAUUCUUCAUUGAUCUUACUCGAAGUUGAGAACAUGUAUUUUGACUCUGAGAAAUGUUUGGAGGUCAACUGCAGUGAGGUCUCUAUACCACAGAGUGUUGUUGGCGUCUCACAUGGCCAUUCAUCAGCUCAAUACAAACAAGUCUUCACGGAGGUGGAGUUUCCUCCUCACCUGUUGCUAAACCAGGCAGCGUGGAUUGGCAUAUUCACUGACUUCAUGGCACGAAGGCCUACAAAAGCGGAACAACUUUUCACCAGUGCAAAAAUGUUCCAAAAGAUACUCUCUCUGUCCAAUACACUUGUAAGUGCAUUCUAGAAUAUAAAAAAUAGAGAGAGAUAAAUGUUCUGUUGAAAGAUAAUCUCCCAAAAUAUAAGUUUUUAUGUAAGACAGUGCUCUCAAGUCAUAAAUGGUAAAUUCUUCUGAAAGUCACAGAGGAAAUUACUCUUAAGACCUCUGUCUUGUUAAGUUAUCAUAGUAAUAAAAUCUCAACCUACUAAGGUAACUUUCUAAACAUGUCAGAGCUUGAAAGUCUCUUGUAAACCUCUAAAUACAAAGAAAACCUAAGUUUAUUUAUUGAAGUUCAAGCUGUAGAAAUCUGACAGCUUUGAGGACUUUAAAAGAUACUGAAUCAACUGCUAUAAAAGGAAAACAGUCUUGACAAUUUUAAUUCAUAUAGUAUUACAACUGAAGAAACUAUUUGAUGAUUUAUGAAGGGCACAUUUGCCGGCUGUGUUUUGGAGUUUUUGCAUGAAAAGUGAAUUUGUACUCAGACUGUUUGCAUCUUCAAAGACCC